CCCCCUUGGCAACCACAAGUCUGUUCUCUAUGUCUGUGAGUCGGUUUCUGGUUUGUAGAUAUGUUCAUUGGUGUUAUUUCUGGAUA